UAAGGAGAGAACGCAGGUAACUUGUUUUUCUUUGGUUUUUACCAUAUAUUGGGGCUGAUGUGUACUGUAGUCCUUGCUGCUGUCCAGUAGUGAUGGGAGUGAGCGUAGGACUUAUCUUUUUGCAAGAUAGCAGUACUGUAUAUUAGAAAAGAAAUGACUCACAGGUUGUACCUGAUAGACCUACUUAAAUCUUUUUGCUUUAUUCUUUCUGUCGCAUAGAAGUAUAAGUUUAUUACUCUGUUUUAUUGUAAGUUAUUUCACAUGGG